ACGGCGAGUGAGCGGCAAGUAGCUCAAAUUUGAAAGCUGGCUCCUUCGGGGUCCGCAUUGUAAUUUGCAGAGGAUGCUUCGGGUGCGGCCCCUGUCUAAGUGCCCUGGAACGGGCCGUCAGAGAGGGUGAGAAUCCCGUCUGGGAUGGGGUGUCCGCGCCCGUGUGAAGCUCCUUCGACGAGUCGAGUUGUUUGGGAAUGCAGCUCUAAAUGGGUGGUAAAUUUCAUCUAAAGCUAAAUACUGGCCGGAGACCGAUAGCGCACAAGUAGAGUGAUCGAAAGAUGAAAAGCACUUUGAAAAGAGAGUUAAAAAGCACGUGAAAUUGUUGAAAGGGAAGCGCUUGCGACCAGACUCGCCUCCAGGGUUCAGCCGGCAUUCGUGCCGGUGUACUUCCCUGGGGGCGGGCCAGCGUCGGUUUGGGCGGCCGGUCAAAGGCUCCCGGAAUGUAGUGCCCUCCGGGGCACCUUAUAGCCGGGAGUGCAAUGCGGCCAGCCUGGACCGAGGAACGCGCUUCGGCACGGACGCUGGCAUAAUGGUCGUAAACGACCCGUCUUGAAACACGGACCAAGGAGUCUAACAUCUACGCGAGUGUUCGGGUGUCAAACCCGUACGCGCAGUGAAAGCGAACGGAGGUGGGAGCCCCCUCGUGGGGCGCACCAUCGACCGAUCCUGAUGUCUUCGGAUGGAUUUGAGUAAGAGCGUAAAUGUGGGGACCCGAAAGAUGGUGAACUAUGCCUGAAUAGGGCGAAGCCAGAGGAAACUCUGGUGGAGGCUCGCAGCGGUUCUGACGUGCAAAUCGAUCGUCAAAUUUGGGUAUAGGGGCGAAAGACUAA
rnacentral:rRNA from 1 species